rnacentral:rRNA from 1 species
UACGUAGGGCGCAAGCGUUGUCCGGAAUUAUUGGGCGUAAAGAGCUCGUAGGCGGCCUGUUGCGUCCGCUGUGAAAGCCCGGGGCUUAACCCCGGGUCUGCAGUGGAUACGGGCAGGCUAGAGGUAGGUAGGGGAGAAUGGAAUUCCCGGUGUAGCGGUGAAAUGCGCAGAUAUCGGGAGGAACACCGGUGGCGAAGGCGGGUCUCUGGGCCGAUACUGACGCUGAGGAGCGAAAGCGUGGGGAGCGAACAGG